GCCGACUGAACCGCUGAGAAUUUUCUUGUAUUUAUAUACAGAGUCGCCAGAAGUAAAAGCUCUUCUAUUCCCUCGGAGAUUGCGCUUCAAUUAUGGUAUCAAUAAGGCGCCUUGCCAGAGCUCUUCACUCUCAUUACAGAACCCUAGCUUCUCCUUCCCUUCAUCAAUCUACUAACCUUCCGCACAAUGGAAUUUUUGGGUGUAAACAACGUACAUAUUUUUCAAGAUCAGUACCUUCAACUACUUUUCCUGCCAU
rnacentral:misc_RNA from 1 species